AAUAUUGGACAAUGGGGGGAACCCUGAUCCAGCCAUGCCGCGUGUGUGAAGAAGGUCUUCGGAUUNUCAAGCACUUUAAGUUGGGANGAAGAGUUGUAGGCUAAUACCUUGCAAUUUUGACGUUACCAACAGAAUAAGCACCGGCUAACUUCGUGCCAGCAGCCGCGGUAAUACGAAGGGUGCAAGCGUUAAUCGGAAUUACUGGGCGUAACGGGUGCGUGGGCGGCCCUUUAAGUCAGAUGGGAAAGGCCAGGGCUUAACCGUGGAAUGGCAUUUGAAACUGGAGGGCUUGGGUGUCGGGGAGGGUAGUGGAAUUCCCAGUGUAGCGGUGAAAUGCGUAGAUAUUGGGAGGAACACCGGUGGCGAAGGCGACUACCUGGCCGAUAACUGCCGCUGAGGCACGAAAGCUAGGGGAGCAAC
rnacentral:rRNA from 1 species